rnacentral:miRNA from 1 species
AGUGAGCUCAGAGGAGGACUGGG